rnacentral:rRNA from 1 species
UACGUAGGGGGCUAGCGUUGUCCGGAUUUAUUGGGCGUAAAGAGCGUGUAGGCGGCCAUGUAGGUCCGGUGUGAAAACUCGAGGCUUAACCUCGAGAUGUCAUCGGAAACCAUUUGGCUAGAGUCCGGAAGAGGAGAGUGGAAUUCCUGGUGUAGCGGUGAAAUGCGUAGAUAUCGGGAGGAACACCAGUGGCGAAGGCGAGUCUCUGGGCUGUAUCUGACGCUGAUGCGCGAAAGCUAGGGGAGCAAACGGG